rnacentral:rRNA from 1 species
AAUAGAUACCCAGGUAGUCCACGCCGUAAACGAUGAGUGCUAAGUGUUAGAGGGUUUCCGCCCUUUAGUGCUGCAGCUAACGCAUUAAGCACUCCGCCUGGGGAGUACGGCCGCAAGGCUGAAACUCAAAGGAAUUGACGGGGGCCCGCACAAGCGGUGGAGCAUGUGGUUUAAUUCGAAGCAACGCGAAGAACCUUACCAGGUCUUAACAUCCUCUGCCAACCCUAGAGAUAGGGCGUUCCCCUUCGGGGGACAGAGUGACAGGUGGUGCAUGGUUGUCGUCAGCUCGUGUCGUGAGAUGUUGGGUUAAGUCCCGCAACGAGCGCAACCCUUGAUCUUAGUUGCCAGCAUUCAGUUGGGCACUCUAAGGUGACUGCCGGUGACAAACCGGAGGAAGGUGGGGAUGACGUCAAAUCAUCAUGCCCCUUAUGACCUGGGCUACACACGUGCUACAAUGGAUGGUACAAAGAGCUGCGAACCCGCGAGGGUAAGCGAAUCUCAUAAAGCCAUUCUCAGUUCGGA